UAUGAUGGUUUUUCUCUUUGGAGGCUACUUCUCUCUCGGAUGAUUGCUCACUUUGGUUGCUUCUCUCAAUUGGUUCGGUUGGUUACGCUAGUAGUUGGUUGAUUUAUUUUCUGGGUUAACUUGUAACAAGCUUAAAAGCUUAGUAAGCUUUAGCUUGAGGGGUAGUAUUAAGAUAAAAUGUUUUGAAUUUAUAUUAUUUAGUAUGUUUUUCGUAUUUGUUUUGUUUGACAAACUCACAAUGCUUCUUGUUAACGCAUCGUGAGUUUGAGGGUAGGUGUUAAGAUAAUAAGUUGUUGGGCUUUAUAUUAUUGGACCCAUUAGGUUUAUAGUCCACUAGGUUUUGCUAUAUAAUCUCUUGUAACUCUAUUUUAUGAAGCUAAUGCAAUUUUAAUAUUAUUA
rnacentral:lncRNA from 1 species